GACGAACGCUGGCGGCGUGCCUAAUACAUGCAAGUAGAACGCUGAAGACUUUAGCUUGCUAAAGUUGGAAGAGUUGCGAACGGGUGAGUAACGCGUAGGUAACCUGCCUACUAGCGGGGGAUAACUAUUGGAAACGAUAGCUAAUACCGCAUAACAGCAUUUAACCCAUGUUAGAUGCUUGAAAGGAGCAAUUGCUUCACUAGUAGAUGGACCUGCGUUGUAUUAGCUAGUUGGUGAGGUAACGGCUCACCAAGGCGACGAUACAUAGCCGACCUGAGAGGGUGAUCGGCCACACUGGGACUGAGACACGGCCCAGACUCCUACGGGAGGCAGCAGUAGGGAAUCUUCGGCAAUGGGGGCAACCCUGACCGAGCAACGCCGCGUGAGUGAAGAAGGUUUUCGGAUCGUAAAGCUCUGUUGUAAGAGAAGAACGUGUGUGAGAGUGGAAAGUUCACACAGUGACGGUAACUUACCAGAAAGGG
rnacentral:rRNA from 1 species